rnacentral:rRNA from 1 species
GGCGGUUUACAGAGAAGGAAUUCCUUCUCGCAAGAGACAUGCACACAGGUGCUGCAUGGCUGUCGUCAGCUCGUGUCGUGAGAUGUUGGGUUAAGUCCCGCAACGAGCGCAACCCUCGUCCUUAGUUGCAACCAUUCAGUUGUGCACUCUAAGGAAACCGCCGGUGAUAAGCCGGAGGAAGGUGGGGAUGACGUCAAGUCCUCAUGGCCCUUACGCGCUGGGCUACACACGUGCUACAAUGGCGGUGACAGUGGGUUGCCACCCCGCGAGGGGGAGCUAAUCUCAGGGAGCCGUCUCAGUUCGGAUUGCACUCUGCAACUCGAGUGCAUGAAGGCGGAAUCGCUAGUAAUCGCGGAUCAGCCUGCCGCGGUGAAUACGUUCCCAGGCCUUGUACACACCGCCCGCCCCUCCAUGGGAGUUGGAUUGACCCGAAGGCUGUGGGCUAACCCGCAAGGGAGGCAGCAGACCACGGUCGCAG